GACGAACGCUGGCGGCGUGCUUAACACAUGCAAGUCGAGCGGUAAGGCCCUUUCGGGGGUACGACGAGCGGCGAACGGGUGAGUAACACGUGGGUGACCUGCCCUUACGCUCUGGGAUAAGCCUGGGAAACUGGGUCUAAUACCGGAUAUGACUCCAUGACGCAUGUUGUGGGGUGGAAAGCCUUGUGCGGCUAGGGAUGGGCCUGCGGCCUAUCAGCUUGUUGGUGGGGUGAUGGCCUACCAAGGCGACGACGGGUAGCCGGCCUGAGAGGGCGACCGGCCACACUGGGACUGAGACACGGCCCAGACUCCUACGGGAGGCAGCAGUGGGGAAUCUUGCGCAAUGGGCGAAAGCCUGACGCAGCGACGCCGCGUGGGGAUGACGGCC
rnacentral:rRNA from 1 species